GUUUUUAAGUGUAUCUUAAUAUAUACAUUUUUUAGGACAUCUUAAAUCUAAACAAAAAAUAAAAUGAACAUCUCUUGAAACCUGUUAAAACAACCAGUUAAAGCCACAGAUGGCUUUCAGGGCAGUAGCAGCAGAGGCCAGUGGACUCUGAGGACUCCUGAGGGGCGGGGCGUGUAGCCAGCCAGGUGCAUGCCGGGACCAUGGCCCCCAUACUUGGCUGCUUCCUGUGACAGUGAAAUACAUCCUUCAAGGUGGCAGCUGUUAGGGCUGAAUCUUCUGGAGAAAAAGGCAGCCUGAACACUCAGUUGCAGGGUCGGGCUUGCGGUGGGUGACCCAGAGCCACCAAAGUCACAUCCACAA
rnacentral:lncRNA from 1 species